AUUGAACGCUGGCGGCAGGCCUAACACAUGCAAGUCGAACGGUAACAGGAAACAGCUUGCUGUUUCGCUGACGAGUGGCGGACGGGUGAGUAAUGUCUGGGAAACUGCCUGAUGGAGGGGGAUAACUACUGGAAACGGUAGCUAAUACCGCAUAACGUCGCAAGACCAAAGAGGGGGACCUUCGGGCCUCUUGCCAUCAGAUGUGCCCAGAUGGGAUUAGCUAGUAUGUGGGGUAACGGCUCACCUAGGCGACGAUCCCUAGCUGGUCUGAGAGGAUGACCAGCCACACUGGAACUGAGACACGGUCCAGACUCCUACGGGAGGCAGCAGUGGGGAAUAUUGCACAAUGGGCGCAAGCCUGAUGCAGCCAUGCCGCGUGUAUGAAGAAGGCCUUCGGGUUGUAAAGUACUUUCAGCGGGGAGGAAGGGAGUAAAGUUAAUACCUUUGCUCAUUGACGUUACCCGCAGAAGAAGCACCGGCUAACUCCGUG
rnacentral:rRNA from 1 species